AAUGAGAUAAUCUGUUGAAAGUCCUUGACCUAAUAUCUGUCCUAUGGAAGUGGUCAUAAAUGCUGGCUAUUAUUACCAUUAUUAUUAAGAUGGAAUGAUGAUGACGAUGAUGAUGAUGAUGAUGACGAUGAUGAGAUGACAAUCAUUAUGAUGAAAGAGAAGGACCAAAGGAAAGAAAACAGGAAUGAGAGUGUUCCUAGUAAUGGAAAAGGAGGAAGAAGAGGAAACAUUCCAGACAGAAGCAAUCUCUUACUGCAAGAGAAUAAGAAGUAAUAAGAAUUUUCAUCAUUUGAAAUGCAGCCAUGUGGCAAUUUUAUCCAUCCAGAACAACUGACAUACAGUAAAUACUUAACAUGUAGCAGAUUCUGCUGUGUUUUUUGAUGUCUUGUUAUAUUAAAUCUCUUCAACCACACUAUGAGGUAGGUGUGUCUUUCCUUCUCAUUCUGUGAAGUAAGGAAAUGGAGUCAUAGAGAAGUUACAUGUGCAG
rnacentral:lncRNA from 1 species